UACGAAGGGUGCAAGCGUUACUCGGAAUUACUGGGCAUAAAGCGUGCGUAGGUGGUUUGUUAAGUCUGUUGUGAAAGCCCCGGGCUCAACCUGGGAAUGGCAAUGGAUACUGGCAGGCUAGAGUGCGGUAGAGGGUAGUGGAAUUCCCGGUGUAGCGGUGAAAUGCGUAGAGAUCGGGAGGAACACCAGUGGCGAAGGCGGCUACCUGGACCAGCACUGACACUGAGGCACGAAAGCGUGGGCAGCAAACAGG
rnacentral:rRNA from 1 species